rnacentral:rRNA from 1 species
GACGAACGCUGGCGGCGCGCUUAACACAUGCAAGUCGAACGGAAAGGCCUGCUUUCCCUUGUGGAUUGCGGGUACUCGAGUGGCGAACGGGUGAGUAACACGUGAGUGAUCUGCCCCCAACUUGGGUAUAAGCCUGGGAAACUGGGUCUAAUUCCCGAUAGGACUGCAGGGUGGUGCCUGUGGUGGAAAACGAUUUUCUAGUGGUUGGGGAUGAGCUCGCGGCCUAUCAGCUUGUUGGUGGGGUAAUGGCCUACCAAGGCGGCGACGGGUAGCCGGCCUGAGAGGGGGGACGGCCACAUUGGGACUGAGAUCCGGCCAAGACUCCUACGGGAGGCAGCAGUGGGGAAGAUGGCACAAUGGGCGGAAGCCUGAUGCAGCGACGCCGCGUGGGGGAUGACGGCCUUCGGGUUGUAAACUCCUUUCGACCGCGAGGAAGCCACCUGGUUGGAAGGGUGGUGACGGUAGUGGUAGAAGAAGCACCGGCUAACUACGUG